GUUAAUAUCUUCAAAAUAUUUUCUGCCUUUUCUCCUUGAUCUUCCAAAAAAAAGGAUAAGAAAAUCUAAGAAACAAUGUAAUGACUAAACUUCCUUUGAAAAAAAGAGUGGCGAAAGAUACCAGAGGGACAGUCAAACUCAUAGAUCGAAAAUAAACUGGAAUGAUAUGGCUAACAAAGAAAAAAGACAAACAGACAAAUAAAAGUACACAACACACAACAUAGACAACUAAAGACCUAGCAACACGAACCCCACCAAAAACUUUGAAAAAACCCAUCUCAAACCUAACACACUAAAUUCCUUUAAAGUUGAGACUAUAACAAGCCACUAAUAGAUACAUAUUUAUUUUUGAGUUGUGCGAUUCUCGUCUUUCAAACAGAGAUCUUUUUGUUCCUUUUAUUUAUGGAAGAUCACAACCAUAUGGCUGCGUCAGUGGCAAAGGACUUUUUUCCUUGGCAGUGAAGAAAAGGACAGAAGUUCUGUUUACAACUAAUGUCAAACCUACAUAACAAACGUCACUUGAGCAAGCUUAAUAAUUACCAGGAGGCAACACUAUGUACAAGUUAAUAUCAUAUCAUUCAUUCCUCAUUUUGGUUUAUUUCUAAAGUGCGUUUAAAACAGAUUAUUUGUAUCUAUAUGAUUCUUAACAGUCUUCACUCAUAAAGUUUUAAGACCCUUUUAUUAAGUAAAAAAAAUCUACUUGUUUAGAAUGUUACAAAAAAAAAUGAGACCAAUAUCAGCAAGACGAGGACAGGACGAAGCAUAUUAAAGAUCUGUCGUCUAACUAAAUAGUUACAUCUUUUUUUUUUUUUUGGUCAAAUCAACGAAUCUAAUAUAUAACCGCGGAUACAAAAUGUACCCAUAAUUUUUAAAUUGUAAGUGAACUAUUCUAAACAUCAACAAUGGCCA
rnacentral:lncRNA from 1 species